rnacentral:lncRNA from 1 species
CUUGGGAGUGCAAGCUUGCAUGAAGACCUUCUUCUUGGUCAAUUUGGAUCUUUUUUUUAAAUCUCUAAAAUCUUUCUAGAGAUUGAAGAUAAAUUUCUGAAGGAGAUGAAGAGAUGAAAGAAAGAUGAAGAAGAAAAUAAUUUUUUUCUAAUUUAUUUCCUCUUCCCAAGCCCUUAGAACCAAAAAUCUGAAAUUCAGGUCUUUGCACACACCCCA